rnacentral:rRNA from 1 species
UACGGAGGAUGCAAGCGUUAUCCGGAAUGAUUGGGCGUAAAGCGUCUGUAGGUGGUUUUUAAAGUCUUCUGUCAAAGAUCAGGGCUUAACCCUGGGCCGGCAGAAGAAACUUAAAAAGCUUGAGUUCGGUAGGGGCAGAGGGAAUUCCCGGUGUGAGCGGUGGAAAUGCGUAGAGAGUCGGGAAGAACACCAAUGGCGAAGGCACUCUGCUGGGCCGCGACUGACACUGAGAGACGAAAGCUAGGGGAGCAAACAGG